GAUGAAGAACGCAGCGAAAUGCGAUAAGUAAUGUGAAUUGCAGAAUUCAGUGAAUCAUCGAAUCUUUGAACGCACAUUGCGCCCCCCAGUAUUCUGGCGGGCAUGCCUGUUCGAGCGUCAUUUCAACCAUCAAGCCCUGCUUGUGUUGGGGUCCUGCGGCUGCCCGCAGGCCCUGAAAACCAGUGGCGGGCUCGCUAGUCACACCGAGCGCAGUGGCACAUCUCGCUCAGGGCGUGCGGCGGGCUCCAGCCGUUAAAGCACCCACCUUUCGCAAGGUUGACCUCGGAUCAGGUAGGAAUACCCGCUGAACUUAAGCAUAUCAAUAAGCGGAGGA
rnacentral:misc_RNA from 1 species